rnacentral:rRNA from 1 species
AAUAGAUACCCCGGUAGUCCUAGCCGUAAACGAUGAGCACUGGGUUGAAGGGUCCUCCAUAGCCUUUCAGCCGUAGCGAAAGUGUUAAGUGCUCCGCCUGGGGAGUAUGGUCGCAAGGCUGAAACUCAAAGAAAUUGACGGGGGCUCACACAAGCGGUGGAGGAUGUGGCUUAAUUCGAGGCUACGCGAAGAACCUUAUCCUAGUCUUGACAUGCACGGAUUAACUCCCUGAAAGGGGAGCCACGCCUUCGGGUGGAACGUGCACAGGUGCUGCAUGGCCGUCGUCAGCUCGUGCUGUGAAGUGUCGGGUUAAGUCCCUUAACGAGCGAAACCCUUGUCGCUAGCUGCCAGCGAGUCAUGUCGGGGACUCUAGCGAGACCGCCGGUGUUAAACCGGAGGAAGGUGGGGAUGACGUCAAGUCCUCAUGGCCUUUAUGACUAGGGCUGCACACGUCCUACAAUGGCAUGCACAAAGGGACGCAAAGUCGCGAGACCAAGCAAAUCCCAAAAAACAUGCCUCAGUUCGGAUUGCG